rnacentral:rRNA from 1 species
UACGGAGGGAGCUAGCGUUGUUCGGAAUUACUGGGCGUAAAGCGCACGUUAGGCGGCUACUCAAGUCAGAGGUGAAAGCCCAGGGCUCAACCCUGGAACUGCCUUUGAAACUAGGUAGCUAGAAUCUUGGAGAGGUCAGUGGAAUUCCGAGUGUAGAGGUGAAAUUCGUAGAUAUUCGGAAGAACACCAGUGGCGAAGGCGACUGACUGGACAAGUAUUGACGCUGAGGUGCGAAAGCGUGGGGAGCAAACA